UGGUUCUGGCAUNGAUGAAGAACGCAGCGAAAUGCGAUAAGUAAUGUGAAUUGCAGAAUUCAGUGAAUCAUCGAAUCUUUGAACGCACAUUGCGCCCGCCAGUACUCUGGCGGGCAUGCCUGUUCGAGCGUCAUUUCAACCCUCAAACCCCCGGGUUUGGUGUUGGAGAUCGGCAAUCGGGCCCCUCGGGGCACGCGCCGUCUCCCAAAUCUAUUGGCGGUCACGCUGUAGCUUCCUAUGCGUAGUAGCACACCUCGCACUGGAAAGCAGCGCGGCCACGCCGUAAAACCCCAACUUCUGAAGUUUGACCUCGAAUCAGGUAGGAUUACCCGCUGA
rnacentral:misc_RNA from 1 species